rnacentral:precursor_RNA from 13 species
AAAAAGUCUGGUGAGGGAAGCGAGUUGUUAUCUUUGGUUAUCUAGCUGUAUGAGUGUAUUGGUCUUCAUAAAGCUAGAUAACCGAAAGUAAGAACUCCUUCAAGAUCAUCGUGGAGCGCG